UGGGGAAUAUUGCACAAUGGGGGAAACCCUGAUGCAGCGACGCCGCGUGAGCGAAGAAGGCUUUUGAGUCGUAAAGCUCUGUCCUAUGAGAAGAUAAUGACGGUAUCAUAGGAGGAAGCCCUGGCUAAAUACGUGCCAGCAGCCGCGGUAAUACGUAUGGGGCGAGCGUUGUCCGGAAUUAUUGGGCGUAAAGGGUACGUAGGUGGUUUUUUAAGUCAGGUGUCAAAGCGUGGAGCUUAACUCCAUUAAGCACUUGAAACUGAAAGACUUGAGUGCAGGAGAGGAAAGUGGAAUUCCUAGUGUGGCGGUGAAAUGCGUGGAUAUUAGGAGGAAUACCGGUGGCGAAGGCGACUUUCUGGACUUUUACUGACGCUCAGGUACGAAAGCGUGGGGAGCAAACAGG
rnacentral:rRNA from 1 species